UNCAAUACCACAGCCUCUUUAAAAAUACUU
rnacentral:piRNA from 1 species